UGGGCAACCUGCCCUCAGCUCUGGGAUAACUCCAAGAAAUUGGGGCUAAUACCGGAUGUGACCGCUGACCGCAUGGUCUGGUGGUGGAAAGUUUUUCGGCUGGGGAUGGGCUCGCGGCCUAUCAGCUUGUUGGUGGGGUGAUGGCCUACCAAGGCGACGACGGGUAGCCGGCCUGAGAGGGCGACCGACCACACUGGGACUGAGACACGACCCAGACUCCUAUGGGA
rnacentral:rRNA from 1 species